GCUAGCUACCAUUUACAUAUACAUACUAUCAUCAUAAACAUCCAAUAAACAUAUCCACCGAAAAUCUCAUUUUCGGGAUCUCUCCAAAGGAGGAAAAUUGCCAAAUAUCCGAGAAAUAAAUAAAUUUCAGGAAAAGAAAUAAAUAAUCAACAGAUAAUUCAUCGCAUGCUUUUCAAUUAAAAUAAAGGUCCACUCACAAAUUAGGCCUAAGCCUGAUGACGCUCCGAGGUUUCCUCUGCUCGGGCCUCCUCUCGUCCUGUUCCAAAUAUAUAAUUAAUUUCCCACCAAAAAUCCAAUAAUUAAACAAAAUGGGCAAAAUUAAACGUGAGGCUCCUACACACUCAUCAUUGCCCAAAUUCGCCAUUCUUAACUCAAUACCGCUCAAACUUCGCAGAACAUACCGGCAGCCGUAAAAACAACUUCCCACAGAAUACGACUUAAAUCCUACGGCCGGAUUCUACAUUAAUUAACCGCCAAAAAUACCAAACUUCGGAAAUUCACAAACCUAUCCAAAACUCAUCCAAAAAUACCAUAACUCACUUCAAUAAACUCCCCUUAAUAUUCCAAAUCUAAAAAAACAUUAAAAUCUCCCAAACAACUCCGGUAGCGGCGGCCGGAGGCCGAUUCCGGCGACCUCCAAUUCUUAUGAAAUUUUAACAGCAUCUUCCUCUCAUCAUGCUCUACAACUUUCCUAACUAGCACAAACCCAAAAUCCAAGCCUAGCUAUGCCAAUCGAACAAAAACAUCAAAAACGCCCUAGAGCUUCCACCUCAAAUUUCUCCUUACCUGAAGCAAACCGGGGUGACUCCAUUUAGGGCAAGGCAGCUGGGUUAGAGACCUACAAAACCGUACCAAGCUUGCCCGGAUUGGUGGUCGGAGGAGGGAGAGGAGGUGAUGGGGGUCCGAACUGGGGUGGAGUGGUGGCUGGUGGCUAGUCGGACGGCGGCAGCUGGCAGCUGGAAAUUUCCGGCGAAGGGAGAGAGAGCACGGGAGGGAGAAGGAAGAGAAAAGAGAGAAGAAGAGAAAGAGAGGAAAUGGGUUGGGCCUCUCCAACCGGUCCAACUCCACUAAUAUACCUAACUCCCACAAAUAAAACACCCCGAAAAAUAAUACCCGAAAAAAAUUACCUUUUACUAGCUAAAAUUUACCCCUUUUACCGUCGCCAUAUUUUCGUCCUACGAGUAAUCCUCCGCACAUAAUCGUCCCCGUAACCCCUCUAGGGACCAAUUAAACUAUUAACUCAGUGACGGAGACGGUAAAAUUCUUAUUAAAAACAAGGUAGUAAAUAAGGUAAAAAUAUAAGAGUCGGGAUAUGAUAAUUCUCCCCUCCUUAUAAAAAUUUCGUCCUCGAAAUUUGCAUACCUGUCAUCCGAAGAGAUAGGGAUACUGCUGCAUCAUUUGCUGCUCUGAUUCCCAAGUAGCUUCUUCUACUUGAUGACUUCUCCAAAGCACCUUGACAAGUGAGAUUGUCUUAUUCCUAAGCACUUGCUCCUUUCGGUCGAGAAUCUGAACCGGUUCCUCUUCAUAUGUCAAAUCUCUCGUCAAACUGAUCGGCUGCUCUUGCAGCACAUGAGAAGGAUCGGCAAUAUACUUGCAAAGCAUGGAUACAUGAAACACAUUAUGUAUCCUAGCUAACUCUGGAGGCAAAAGUAGCCGAUAAGCAAGUGAGCCAACUCGCUCUAUGAUCACAUAAGGGCCAAUAUACCUCAGACUAAGCUUCCCACGCUUACCGAAACGCACAACCCCUUUCCAAGGAGAUAAUUUCAGGAACACCCAAUCACCCACUUGAAAUUCAAGAUCUCUCCUACGGACAUCUGCAUAACUCUUCUGCCUACUUUGAGCGGUCUUGAGUCUAUCUCUAACCACUUUAAUCUUCUCAUUCGUAACAUGGAUUAAUUCUGGGCCACAGAGCUCUUUUUCCCCCACUUCAUUUCAACACAAAGGCGUGCGACACAGCCUCCCAUAAAGACCCUCAAAGGGAGCCAUACCAAUGCUAGAAUGAAAGAUAUUAUUAUAGGCAAAUUCCAUCAAAGAUAGGUUUUUAUCCCAACUUCCUCUGAACUGCAAGACACAAGCCCUCAACAUAUCCUCCAACGUCAGAAUUGUCCUCUCGGACUGCCCAUCAGUCUGAGGAUGAAAAGCAGUGCUGAAGAGUAAUUGGGUACCUAAAGCUGCCUGAAGAGCUCCCCAGAAUUUAGAAGCAAAUCGAGGAUCCCGAUCUGACACUAUUGAUUCAGGAACACCAUGAAGCCUCACAAUUUCAUUCACAUAAAGCUCCGCCAAUUUAUCCAAUUUAUACUUCUUUCCCACUGGCAAGAAAUGUGCAGACUUGGUGAGUCGAUCCACAAUCACCCAAAUACCGUCAUGCCCUUUACGGGUACGAGGUAAACUGAAAACGAAAUCCAUGGUGAUGUGGUCCCACUUCCACACUGGAAUAGGCAACGGCUCAAGCAAUCCAGAAGGCUUCUGCCUUUCAGCUUUUACUUGCUGACAAACCAGACAUCUACUCACAUAAGCUGCAAUUUCCCUCUUCAUGUUUGGCCACCAAUAAUAAUUCUUCAAAAUCCGAUACAUUUUUGUGCUACCCGGAUGAGCAGCAUAUGCAGAGCUAUGAGCUUCCUCCAUAAUCUCAUUCUUCAACUCUUCAUUUCUUUUUGGAACUACAUUAGCCGAUUCUUAAACAUAGAGUCCCAUCUCUUCUAACUGAAAAAUGAUCGGCAGCGGCUCCAUUCGAAGCUCUUUCCAUUCAAUCAAACUAUGGAAGGAUCAUUAUACUGUGCUUCCCGCACUCUAUCAACCAAAACUGGCCUCACAUGAAAACUGGCUAUCAAAGCACCAACCUCAUCUACUGAUAAAUCCACUCCUGUAGCUUGCAACUCACAAAGAAGCGGAACACGAACCAUCUUUAUAUGAGAUAAAGAUAUAGAGGGAUUUCGACUAAGAGCAUCCGCUACCACAUUAGCUUUUCCAGGGUGAUACUCAAUAGUGCAAUCAUAAUCAUUGAUUAACUCCAUCCACCUUCUCUGUCCCAUAUUUAGCUCUCUUUGAGUGAAUACAUACCGAAGACUCUUGUGAUCGGUAAAUAUCUGACACUUGCCUCCAUAAAGAUAGUGUUUCCACAACUUGAGAGCAAAAACUACCGCUGCAAGCUCCAGAUCAUGAGUAGGAUAAUUCCCCUCAUGCGGCUUUAAUUGCCUAGAAGCGUAGGCAAUAACUCGUCCAUGCUGCAUCAAUACUCCACCUAGACCAUGUCUAGAAGCAUCACAAUAGAUCACAUACUCUCCACUAUCAUCCGGAAGUGCCAAAACAGGAGCACUUGUUAAGCAAUUCUUCAAUUCUUGGAAACUUUGCUCACAUUGAUCUGACCAUUCAAACUUAACCCUCUUCCUGGUCAAUCUUGUGAGAGGAGCAACAAUCUUUGAAAAAUCUUUCACAAAGCGCCGAUAAUAACCUACUAAUCCCAAGAAACUACGAAUCUCCAUCACAGUGGUGGGUCUUCUCCAAUUCGACACUGCUUUCACCUUUUGGGGAUCCCCACUAACUCCUUCUACCGAAAUCACAUGACCCAAAAACCCCUCUUUAUCUAGCCAAAACUCACACUUGCUAAACUUAGCAAAUAACUGCGACUUUUCCAAAGUCCGUAAUAUUAUUCUUAGAUGCUUGGCAUGCUCCUUCUCACUUCUUGAGUAAACCAAUAUGUCAUCUAUGAAUACGAUCACGAAACGAUCAAGAUAUGGACUAAACACCCUAUUCAUGAGAUCCAUGAACGCCACGGGUGCAUUAGUAAGUCCAAAUAGCAUCACCAUAAACUCAUAAUGACCAUAUCGUGACCGAAAAGCAGUCUUGGCUAUGUCCCCCUCUCGGAUCCGCAACUGAUGAUAACCCGAUCUCAAAUCAAUNNNNNNNNNNNNNNNNNNNNUUAGAGAAAACAGAGGCACCCGUCAACUGAUCAAAUAAAUCAUCGAUCCGAGGCAACGGAUAUUUAUUCUUCACUGUGACCUGAUUCAACUUCCUAUAAUCAAUGCAUAGUCUCAUGGUGCCGUCUUUCUUCUUAACAAACAACACCGGAGCACCCCAUGGAGACAUGCUAGGCCGAAUAAAACCCUUAUGUACCAACUUCUGCAAUUGAGUCUUCAACUCUUUCAAUUCCGCUGGAGCCAUUUUGUAAGGUGCCUGAGAGAUAGAUAUAGUUCCAGGAAGUAAUUCUAUAGAGAAGUCUAUCUCCCUUGCAGGAGGCAAACCAGGCAACUCCUCAGGAAAAACAUCCGGAAACUCCCUUACUACCGGAAUAUCUUCUAAUCCCACAACUCCCAUAAUUGUAUCCACGACAUGAGCUAAAUAUGCCUGACAGCCUUUACUCAACAAUUUCCUUGUAGCAACAGCGGAAAUUAUGCAACUAGAAAUAACAUCUCUUUCCCCUUGGAAAGCAACCUCAAAACCAUCUGGACUUCGAAGCACCACUACUUUUUGAAAACAAUCUACCAUAGCUCUAUAUGCUUCCAAAAAGUCCAUUCCCAAGAUCACAUCAAACUCCACUAUAUCUAAAGGAAUUAAAUCAGCCUCAAAAUUAACUCCUUCCACUAAAACUUCACAACCACUAAAUACCCAAUUUAUUCUCAUCACCUCACCGGAGGGUAGAGACACAUGCCACUCGCCUGGAAGAGACGAUGAUAGCACAUUGGCAUGGAGAGCGAAUCUACUAGACAUGAAUGAAUGCGUGGCUCCUGGAUCAAUUAAAGUAAAAGCAGGCUGACCGAAAAUUAAUAACGUACCAAUGAUGACAUCUGGAGAAGUACGACCCUCCUGCUGGGUCAUAGUAUGUAGUCUAGCGCGAGUCAUGGGACGUCUAUGCUGACCACCACCCCGCUGAGAGCCACCUCUGACCGAUGCACUGCCCUGGGCACCACUACUGGAGCCUCCAGCUGAAGACUGACCAACUGGCUGAGUAGGGGUGGGGGUGGUCCUCUGAGCCAACAAUGGGCAAUCUCUCCUGAAGUUGUCUUGACCACCACACUCAAAGCACCCAGAAAACUGCUGCUACCCAUAAGAAAAAGUCUAGCUACCGGAUGACCCACCAUGGAAAUUACCACCAGAACCAUACUGCCCAGACUGCUGCCUACCCAAAUGACUCCGAGAAGGUCUCCUGAAACAUCCUCUAGUCCUGUUUCGAGCACCAGAGCUCGAUCCCCCACUACUGCCACUACCAGCAGAAGACCCAGAAGCGGAUGAUGUAGCAGCCUUCUUAGAUGGACCUUGACUAGGGCCACCGUAAUCACGAGGCCGAACACCAUAUGUCCCCCUAAACUCAAUGGCCAUGGCUGCACCAACUGCAUCCUCAAAAGUCGGGUAAAUUACCCAUGUCAUCUUGUCCGCAUACACUCCACCAAGUACCCCAAUGAACAUCUCAAUCCUGGUCCUCUCAUCAGAAACCAGAUAUGACACAUGGUAGCUCAGGGAAGUGAAUCUUUCCUGAAACUCUAAGAUACCCUCAUCGUCCCUCUUUGACAUAUGCAGGAAAUCCGACUGAAUUCUGCUGCGGUGGGCAUGAUUGAAAUACUGCCCCAAGAAGAGAGUCUUAAACUACUCCCACGACAUAUUCAGCGCAUCCUCAACAUUCCUGUUGGCAAGUGACCACCAGUGAUGUGCUGAAUCAUCCAGAAAAGUCACUGCUAUCUUCACCUUUCUUUCUUCUGGCAGCUCAGUGCUCGCAAAAGCCUUUUCCAUCUUAUCCACCUAAUUGUGAGCAUCAAGAGGUCCCUUGGCACCCUUGAACUCUCUGGCUCCAGCAUAAAAAACUUCUCUCCUUUUCACAGUAGGAGGGCGUGGAGCUCGAUCCAUGACAUCCCUUAGCAUAUUUCCAAUAUCAUCAACCAGUCCCCUGACCUCAUUGCCCUCAUCGGCAUUGGUUGAAGUGGCCACACGGGGUUGCCGUGGGCGCCUAGGAGGCAUAGUACCUGAGAAAGAAGAAAUUUAGUAGUCCAUAAACAAGACUAACACAACAAUCACACAUACCCAAUAACACAUAGCAUCAAAAGCAUAAAAUGCCAAUGAAUCCGCCGCGGUCUGAUCAUCACUCUAUAGACACUACGUGCUACUUAGGCAAAUAUGAUAGUGACAAGGAAGCAGGAAAAGGAAACCUAAAGCUCUGAUACCAACUGACACGACCCACCCCAAAUUUCACCCUGAAACCCGAAGUCGUGCGGGGACCACCUCCAAGAAAAAUUUACUGAAAAGAUUGAUAAAAUCUCCCUUGAAAAUGGACAACCCUAACUCGAAAAUUCCAAAUUACACUCUUAAUACAACACGUCCAAACAUCACAUAAUUAACCUUCAGAAAUUCUAAACAUAAUAUACAAUAAUCUCAAAGUAUUCAGAGCUACUAGACACUAGCGGAAGCAAGAAAACACGAGUAGGUUAAACAUGUAAUCUACUGAUGAAAACUGGCGGAAAUCCGGGUGACUAUGCCUCGCCUCCUACUAGAUCCAACUCGAACUCUGCAGACUGGGCAAUUUAAAACGAAGAGCCCAAGGGAAAACAUGUGGAACAGUUAGAGUGAGUGGACAAAAACUAAAUUAAAUAAAAAUAUUUCUUUAUGCUUUCCCAAUUUAAUUUCCAAAUAAAAUAAUACUGCAUGCAAUCGCUCAAAAGCGCUCAACUCAAAAACUGACAACUUCACGACUAGCACCGGCUAGUCUCCAAAACUUAAUAAAAUACAGCCUCUCAGGCUAAAUUAUAUAUAAACAUAUAUAAGUGUAUGUAUUUACACUCGUCAGACUCCUUGUAUGAAUUCUAAGAACAAAUUAGAAAAAUAGAAAUUCAUACAAGGCUACUACGCUUGCGUCUAACGCUCACGUCACACCAUAAUGGAAUUGUACCUCAGUAUGGCGGAAAAAGCACGAGUGUAUAUACGUGUGGACUCCCUAUAUGAAAACCUAAAUAAACCAAAUAAGAAAAUAGUUUUCAUAUAGGGCUACUACGCUUGUGUCUAACACUCACGUCACACCAUAAUGGUAUUUUACCUCAUUAUGGCAGAUCAAACACGUAUGGCUAGCUAGCAUUUACAUAUACAUACUAUCAUCAUAAACAUCCAAUAAACAUAUCCACCGAAAAUCUCAUUUUCGGGAUCUUUCCAAAGGAGGAAAAUUGCCAAAUAUCCGAGAAAUAAAUAAAUCUCAUGAAAAGAAAUAAAUAAUCAACAUAUAAUUCAUCGCAUGCUUUUCAAUUAAAAUAGAGGUCCACUCACAAAUUAGGCCUAAGCCUGAUGACGCUCCGACGCUUCCUCUGCUCGGGCCUCCUCUCGUCCUGUUCCAAAUAUAUAAUUAAUUUCCCACCAAAAAUCCAAUAAUUAAACAAAAUGGGCAAAAUUAAACGUGAGCCUCCAACACACUCAUCAUUGCCCAAACCAAAUUCGUCAUUCUUAACUCAAUACAGCUCAAACUUCGGCGAACAUACCGGCAGCUGUAAAAACAACUUCCCACAGAAUACGACUUAAAUCCUACGGCCGGAUUCUACAUUAAUUAACCGCCAAAAAUACCAAACUUCGAAAAUUCAUAAACCUAUCCAAAACUCAUCCAAAAAUUCCAUAACUCACUUCAAUAAACUCCCCUUAAUAUUCCUAAUCUAAAAACAUUAAAAUCUCCCAAACAGCUCCGGUAGCGGCGGCCGGAGGCCGAUUCCGGCGACCUCCAAUUCCUAUGAAAUUUUAACAGCAUCUUCCUCUCAUCAUGCUCUACAACUUUCCUAACUAGCACAAACCCAAAAUCCAAGCCUAGCUAUGUCAAUCGAACAAAAACAUCAAAAACGCCCUAGAGCUUCCACCUCAAAUUGCUCCUUACCUGAAGCAAACCGGAGUGAGUCCUUUUAGGGCAAGGCAGCUGGGUUAGAGACCUACAAAACCGUACCAAGCUUGCCCGGAUUGGUGGCCGGAGGAGGGAUUUCCGACGAAAAGCUUCCCGGCGUUUCCGGUGCGUUUUCUCUUCUUCCGGCGGGCUAACGGCUCGGGGGCUAGGCCGGGGAGGGAGAGGAGGUGAUGGGGGUCCGAACUGGGGUGGAGUGGUGGCUGGUGGCUGGCCGAACGGCGGCAGCUGGCAGCUGGAAGUUUCCGGCGAAGGGAGAGAGAGCACGGGAGGGAGAAGGAAGAGAAAAGAGAGAAGAAGAGAAAGAGAGGAAAUGGGUUGGGCCUCUCCAACCGGUCCAACUCCACUAAUAUACCUAACUCCCACAAAUAAAACACCCCGAAAAAAAAUUACCUUUUACUAACUAAAAUUUACCAUUUUUACCGUCGCCAUAUUUUCCUCCUACGAAUAAUCCUCCGCCCAUAAUCGUCCCCGAAACCCCUCUAAGGACCAAUUAAACUAUUAACUCAAUGACGGAGAUGGUAAAAUUCUUAUUAUAAACAAGCUAGUAAAUAAGGUAAAAAUAUAAGAGUCGGGAUGUGACAGGAGCAGUCGGCGUUUCCGGUGGUUUUCUUCUCUCCGGCGGCGCUACCAGCUCGGACACUAGGCCGGGAAGAGAGAAGAGGUGGCAGGGCUCCAAACUGGGCUGGAGCGGCGGCCGGUUGCUGGCCGGAUGGCGGCAGGCGAUGGUCGGAAGUCGGACGGAGAGAUAAGCUCUGGGGGAGAGGGAGAGAGAAGAGAAAGAGGAGGAAAAAGAAGGAAGAAAAAAAAUGGGCCACUCCUCUAACCCAGUCCAACACCUUAAACAAAACCCCAACUCCCAAAAAUUAACACCUCAGAAUAAUACCCAAAUAAAAAUUACCUUUUACCAGCUAAAAUUUACUAUUUUUACCGUCGUCAAAUUUUUCUCUUACGAAUAGUUCCUCCGAAAUAAUCGUCCAUCAAAACCCCUCUAGGGACUAUUUAAACUAUAAACUCAUUGACAAAGACGGUAAAACUCUUAUUAUUACCAAGCUAGUAAAUAAGUUAAGAAUUUAAGGGUCGGGAUGUGACAGUUUUCCUAAUAAAAUUGGACUCUGAAUUGUAUCAUGAAUCUCAAAUUAGGGAACUUGAAUUGCUUGGGUGCAAGCUGGGACUUUGCUUUCGGAAUCAAACUGCUAUUGUUUGAUUUGGGUGCUUAUGUGUUUGGAGUUGCUUGCUUAUGCCGGUUGCUAUGACAUGAGGUAGGGAAAACAAACUUUUCUUUAUAGCUUUGAUUCUAGUUUCAUGUGUAUUUGGUGUGAUUGUGUUGGAAUGUCUUCUCUGCUAUUUUUCCUUGAUUGAAACUGUCAAGCAUACAUAGCUUGUCGAAUAGAAAUCUUGUUGAGUGUCAUUGUUACUCUGAUUCAAGGUAAUAUGUACCCUUGUCUUAUAUUUAAUAUUGAAAUGAUAGCCUUGAGUAUUUUGGCUGGUAUUCUUUGAAGAAGUUCACAUUGGACAAGGUCCUUCUCGUUCCCAACUCUCUUCUUAUUAUGUUAGUUGCAGCCGUGGCUUGUAUCUUGUUAUACCAUCUAAAGUGGUUUUAUCUGUGUCUACUUUGUCUUAUGUUACUGCUUUCUUGGCUUCUCCUUUGAGUCUAUUACUUAGUUUAGUCCUGCUCUCUGUUAAUGCUCAUGAACUCACUGUACAAAGCUGCUCAAGUUAGUGUCUUUACCCAUUGAUAUUUAUAUUCUUGAGGCCGAUACAAAUCUGAUUCUUGCCCUGUUCUUUAUAAUUUAAAAGGAAGUUUUUAUACAUGGUUUUACUUGAACCAAAAAUUC
rnacentral:lncRNA from 1 species